GGCCUACUGUACCAUGACUGUACAUAGCCUAGGCCUACUUACACUAUUGUUUUGCCGUUAUGAAACAGGUCUCUUAACUUCACAAUCUACAAUCAUUGACAAAUAGCCUAUAUAUUAGGCCUAAACCAAGUUUAUUUUGUAGUGUAUUUUGCUUGGCUUUUUGUUGUUAAUAAAAUGUUUUAUCUAUGUUAAUUUUGUGAUUAAGUAAUUCAUUUAAAGACAUAUUUUUAAAACAAGUUUUAUAGGAUGCGUGCUGAAAGAAUAUUGAUAUGCGGAAAAGUAAAAUUAACCCCCCUCCCCACCCCCAAUUUUUUUUUGUUUUUUGAGAUGUUAAGGCAAUGUAUCAUUUCGAGAUCUUGCUUAUUAGGUGUUGGUUUACUUUAUUUCAAAAAGGAAAAAGGACGCUGCUUCUUACCAUACCACGAUAACUAAAAAUUGGCAAAUCCAAUUAGUUUCAAAUUUGGCAAAAUGCAGUGAAUGAAUUUGGUGACUAUUAAUUAUCGCAAUUCCCAAAUUUGUGUUUAGUUUUUGCGUACAAAGGAACGUACACACCCGCAGAGUUCUGGUUUAUAAUUAAAAUGGAAAUUAUGUUAAUUAAUGCAAAUUAAGAUAAUCUGGUUAAGAUUGUAAUAAAACAUAAUUACAGAAACAUAUUGGCAUCACUUUUAUGAAAAUAUGGCACAAACUGUUAGUAGUAUCAGCAUAAUGAUAAAAAUAUAAUAUAUAUUAAUUUUUAAGAAUAGACAUUUGACAGUCAAAAAUGUGUGAUUAUGUGUAAUUCUGACCUGUAAAAUAUGUCAAGAAGAUGGUAAAUAUUAAAUGAUAUUUUUAAUAUUUUUAAUAUUCUAACAUUUAUUGAACUUAAUCCUGCUAAUUUUUCAAGUUGAUAUUGCAAAAUCCAUAUUGGGUUCUACCACCAAACACGAUUACCCAUAUUUCUCAAAUUUCUGGCUGAACCAUAAUGGGAGGCAUCUAUUGGAUAGUAUUCAUCAUUGGUUUAUAUCCAUAUUUAAUUUACCUAUACAGAUAAUUGUUUCAUUAACCCGCUGUGAUUGUGAGCAAUAAGUACAGUGCGCUCUCUCUAAUGAGAUUAGUUUAUAUAUUAUAUAUAACCAAAAUACUGAAAUAUUUAGCUUGGCUUUCUUUAACACACCGGAUUAUUUACAAAAUUGUAUUGAUAGUUUUUAAAUUUAAAAAUCAGAUGGUUCUGGACUCUCUAAAAUCAUAUCUGCUAAAAAGAAGCCUUUCUGACAUUAGAUGGUAAUUAGUAAUAAAAUUGAAAUUGGUAAGUAAAUGUCACGGAAACACCAGCUGGAAAUGUAAGAUAAAAAAAAUACACUGCGCCUUGAGCACCUAUUUUGGUGGAGAUGUUUGCGCUAUAAUAUUGCUAAUAGAGUAUUUACGAAACAGGACGGUAGAGGGACGACGGACUACCGAUGUGCACUGAUGCGUGAAAUCCAGCCUGUUGUGCUCUUUCUAUUCUCGUUUACGUAUCUAGGGACGACGUCAUGCUUCCAACGUGAUGGACCUGCUGUGACGUUUGUUGUGCUUGCAGAGGACGUGCUUGAGCCGGAGGAGGAGGAGUACCUUUUGUUGAGUGACCUAAACACAAAUAAUCAUAUUGAUGUACCCUACAAGGAGUACAACAAGUUUUACCUCGAAUCAUACAUGGACGAUGAAUGCAAUGCUUAUUUCAGAUUUAUGAAGGACGACAUAUAUCUUCUUAAGAUAGCGUUAAAGAUUGACGAUGAGAUCAUAUGUGCAAACGGCCUCAAGAUCCAGGGUAUUGAAAUGCUGUGUAUACUGUUGAAGCGAUUUGCCUAUCCGUGCAGGUAGAUUGAUAUAGUGCCUAUGUUUGCAAGGCCGAUUCCUCAAUUUUGCAUGAUUACCAAUAUGAUUAUGCGGCAAGUGUACGAUCGGUUUCAUCACCUUUUAACUAGUUUGGACCAACCUUGGCUACAGGCUGAACAUUUAGAAAACUUUUCCAAUGUUAUCCAUGCCGCCGGUGCUGCCCUUAAGAAUUGCUAGGGUUUCGUAGAUGAAACUGUACGCCCAAUUUGCAAGCCCGGAGAACAUCAGCAGAUUGUUUACAAUGGCCAUAAGCGUGUCCACUCCCUGAAAUUCCAAUCCGUGGUAACACUAAAUGGUCUAAUAGCUAAUCUAUUUGGUCCAAUUGGGGAAAGUCGGCAUGACUCAUUUAUGCUAGAGAAUCAGGUUUGCUACAAAAGUUAGAGCGCCAUGCCAUUAAGGAAAAUGGCGAACAACUCUGUAUUUAUGGUGAUCCCGCAUAUCCCCUACGCCCUCAAUUACAAGGCCCCUUCAAAUGGAACUUAACACAGGAACAAGAAGACUAUAAUAAGUCCAUGAGUCAGGUUAGGGUGUCGGUAGAAUGGUUAUUCCAUGACAUUGUAGAGAAUUGGAAAUUUAGACUUUAAGAAAACUCAAAAAAUUUGAAUGAGUGCCAUCGGAAAAAUUUAUAUAGUGUGUGUCCUUUUGACAAAUGCCCACACCUGUCUGUAUGGCAAUAUCACAUCAAAAUCUUUCAAUUUAGAUCCUCCUUCCCUUGAAGAAUAUUUUCUGUGAUUCAAUUCAGUCAACACGUGGACUGUAAUUGAAUGCAUAUACUGUAGUAUUGGACUACCAAAUGUUAAUUAUCCUGGUGUAACAGAGAAUUUACUAUGGACUUCCACCCCCUCUGCUUCCCUCCCUAUUUGGUAACAAGCAAUGGACUUUGUCAUUUUGCCAAAUGUUAGUAAUUGUGGUAACUUUCAUAGUGUAUUAAUUGUGCAAAUGAUCAAUUCACACAGGUAUCAGAAAACAUGAAGCCCCGUCGUUUUACUACCAUCUUCCAAAUUUGAAAUCAUUCAAACUCCCCAAAAUCUUAGUUGGAAACUAACAAUUUUUUUAUUGAAUAGUAACAUUUAUUUUGAGUCAUAAUAGAUUUCAUGCCAACUUCCCUCCUAUUUGUUACCCUUAAUCUCUGAUGUACAAAGCAAAAAUUUUGACGGCCAUUUACUGUAUUUGUACUUGUUGCAAAUGUGCUAUGUUACAUGAUAAUAUCAACGGAAACUUAUGAAGGGCAAAGAACACUGCAACAUUACAUUCCUAGUGCAAUUUGUUUUCUAAUGAUUCUUGAAGAGCAGGUGAUUAAGCAAAUUGCUAAUGGGAGGAGGCACAAAAUUCUACUGAAGACAUGGCAAUCACCCCUUAAAAUUAAUGUAUUAUAUUGUACAGUACAACUAUUGUUUACUAUAACAUUUCUCAUUAAAAAAUUCAGACACAAGUUUGAAUGGAACAAAUGUAUUCAAAUCAAGUUGAUGAACACGUAAUUUAUUUUAAGUAACCAAAACAUGUAUGCAUAUACAAUUAUACUUCUGUAUAAUAUUUGGUAAUCAAUAAAUGUUUGCUCUGCUUUAAAGUUUAUAUUGCACAUAAGAGGAAAUGACAAUACAUGAUAAUUAUAUACAUACCAGGCUGUAGCUAUUCAUUUAUAAAAUGAAGGUAUAGCAAUACUUUAUGCAAUAUAUAAUACUAUAUGUACUACUGUAUAAUAAUAUUGUUAUCUGUUUUUUAAGUCUAUAUUGUACAAUGUUAAUACUGUAAAUUAAAAUUUACAUAGUAUACUUUAAUGACUUAAUUAAUUUUUAUAAACAAGUGGAGACAGCAAUACCAGUGCAAUAAAUUUGUAUAUAAUACAUGCAAUAUGAUAUAUUAAAUGUGAUCGAAAUUAAAUGUAUGAACUUUUAACAUCAAUAUUGCAUAAUAAAAAUGGCGAUACUUAAUUUGGUGUGUGGUAGCAAAAUGUACGCCUUUUACUAUUUCUUCAAUUAAUUUGCAAAAAAAUAAUCUUCCUAUUCAAAAAAUACACAGAUGAUGUUUAAUAACUAGGGGAAGAAUAAUAAAAGGGAUUGCCAGCA